rnacentral:rRNA from 1 species
GGAACCACCUGAUCCCAUCCCGAACUCAGAAGUGAAACAGACCUGCGCCGAUGGUAGUGUGGCGUUGCCCAUGUGAGAGUAGGUCAUCGUCAGGC